rnacentral:rRNA from 1 species
UGAGGAAUUUUCUGCAAUGGGCGAAAGCCUGACAGAGCAAUACCGCGUGAGGGAUGAAGGCCUAUGGGUUGUAAACCUCUUUUCUCAAGGAGGAAGAUAUGACGUUACUUGAGGAAUAAGCAUCGGCUAACCCUGUGCCAGCAGCCGCGGUAAUACAGGGGAUGCAAGUGUUAUCCGGAAUCAUUGGGCGUAAAGCGUCUGCAGGUUGACUUUUAAGUCUUUUGUUAAAGCUCUGGGCUUAACCUAGAAUAUGCAAAGGAAACUAUUUGUCUUGAGUAUGGUAGAGGUAAAGGGAAUUCCCAGUGGAGCGGUGAAAUGCUUAGAUAUUGGAAAGAACACCAACAGCGAAGGCACUUUACUGGGCCAGUACUGACACUGAGAGACGAAAGCUAGGGGAGCAAACGGGAUUAGAUACCCUAGUAGUCCCUGAGCGGGCUGGCAAGGCGCAU